GACGAACGCUGGCGGCGUGCUUAACACAUGCAAGUCGAACGAAGUGGCGAACGGGUGAGUAACGCGUAAUCAACCUGCCCUUCAGAGGGGGACAACAGUUGGAAACGACUGCUAAUACCGCAUACUGAAGGCGGGGAUUUCGUCUGAUUCGCUAUUUGGCGGGGUAACGGCCCACCAAGGCGAUGAUCAGUAGCCGGGCUGGGGGGAUGAACGGCAACAAUGGGACUGAGACACGGCCCAGACCCCUACGGGAGGCAGCAGGGGGGAAUCUUCCGAAAUGGACGAAAGUCUGACGGAGCAACGCCGCGGUAGUGAUGACGGCCUUCGGGUUGUAAAGCUCUGUUAAUCGGGACGCGGUACCGGAAUAGAAAGCCACGGCUAACUACGUGCCAGCCGCCGCGGUAAUUC
rnacentral:rRNA from 1 species